AAAGCUUUAGCUUAAUUAAAGUAUCUGGGUUGCAUUCAGAAGAUGUGAGAUAGUGUCUCGCAGGCUUUA
rnacentral:tRNA from 1 species